UACGUAGGGGGCUAGCGUUGUCCGGAUUUAUUGGGCGUAAAGCGCGCGUAGGCGGCCAGGUAGGUCUGCUGCUAAAACUCGAGGCUCAACCUCGAGACGUCGGCGGAAACCAUCUGGCUAGAGUCCGGAAGAGGAGAGUGGAAUUCCUGGUGUAGCGGUGAAAUGCGCAGAUAUCAGGAAGAACACCCGUGGCGAAGGCGGCUCUCUGGGACGGUACUGACGCUGAGACGCGAAAGCGUGGGGAGCGAACAGG
rnacentral:rRNA from 1 species